AUGGAAAGCGGCGGACGGGUGAGUAACGCGUAGGUAACCUGCCCCAUACAGAGGGAUAGCCACUGGAAACGGUGAUUAAUACCUCAUGACACUUUCUCUUCGCAUGGAGAGGAGGUCAAAGAUUUAUCGGUAUGGGAUGGACCUGCGUCUGAUUAGCUUGUUGGUGGGGUAACGGCCUACCAAGGCGACGAUCAGUAGCCGACCUGAGAGGGUGAUCGGCCACAUUGGAACUGAGACACGGUCCAAACUCC
rnacentral:rRNA from 1 species